AUGGGCUGCUGACUGUCA
rnacentral:piRNA from 1 species